UGUCUUUGUUUACAGAACAUUUUCUAUAGACCAGUGCAAAAAAACAAAUCUUCAUUUGCAACCCAGAACUCAUUAUUUGGUGUGAGUUUUGAUACAAAUAAGAAGGGACAUG
rnacentral:snoRNA from 1 species